rnacentral:rRNA from 1 species
UACAGAGGGGGCAAGCGUUAUUCGGAAUUAUUGGGCGUAAAGGGCGCGUAGGCGGCGCGGGGAGUCAACGGUGAAAGCUCGGCGCUCAACGCCGAGUCGGCCGUCGAUACUCCCGUGCUCGAGCACUGUAGAGGCAGGUGGAAUUCCGGGUGUAGCGGUGGAAUGCGUAGAUAUCCGGAGGAACACCAAAGGCGAAGGCAGUGUCCUGGGGAGUACCUGACGCUCAGGUGCGAAAGCCAGGGGAGCGAACGGG